rnacentral:rRNA from 1 species
GAUGAACGCUGGCGGCGUGCCUAAUACAUGCAAGUCGAGCGAACAGAUGAGGAGCUUGCUCCUCUGACGUUAGCGGCGGACGGGUGAGUAACACGUGGAUAACCUACCUAUAAGACUGGGAUAACUUCGGGAAACCGGAGCUAAUACCGGAUAAUAUAUUGAACCGCAUGGUUCAAUAGUGAAAGACGGUUUUGCUGUCACUUAUAGAUGGAUCCGCGCCGCAUUAGCUAGUUGGUAAGGUAACGGCUUACCAAGGCAACGAUGCGUAGCCGACCUGAGAGGGUGAUCGGCCACACUGGAACGUAGACACGGUCCAGACUCCUACGGGAGGCAGCAGUAGGGAAUCGUCCGCAAUGGGCGAAAGCCUGACGGAGCAACGCCGCGUGAGGGAUGAAGGUCUUCGGAUCGUAAAACUCCGUUAUUAGGGAAGAACAAAUGUGUAAGUAACUAUCCACGUCUUGACGGUACCUAGUCAGAAAGCCACGGCUAACUACGUG